UACGGGGGGGGCAAGCGUUGUUCGGAAUUACUGGGCGUAAAGGGCUCGUAGGCGGCCAACUAAGUCAUACGUGAAAUCCCUCGGCUUAACCGGGGAACUGCGUCUGAUACUGGAUGGCUUGAGUUCGGGAGAGGGAUGCGGAAUUCCAGGUGUAGCGGUGAAAUGCGUAGAUAUCUGGAGGAACACCGGUGGCGAAGGCGGCAUCCUGGACCGAUGCUGACGCUGAGGAGCGAAAGCCAGGGGAGCAAACGGG
rnacentral:rRNA from 1 species